GAACGCCCUUUUCGGAGGGAGUGGCAGACGGGUGAGUAACGCGUGGGAAUCUACCCAUCACUAGGGAAUAACUCAGGGAAACUUGUGCUAAUACCCUAUACGACCGAAAGGUGAAAGAUUUAUCGGUGAUGGAUGAGCCCGCGUUGGAUUAGCUAGUUGGUGGGGUAAAGGCCCACCAAGGCGACGAUCCAUAGCUGGUCUGAGAGGAUGAUCAGCCACACUGGGACUGAGACACGGCCCAG
rnacentral:rRNA from 1 species